CAUCCUCUGCAGAUUGUAAAAGACAUGCAGGAAAUGAAAAGCAAACACUUAAAGACAAUCAGACAGCUGGAAAACACAAAGAAAGAAAACCAAAGCAAGGAGCAGACUAUAACUACUAUAAAUAAACUUUAUGGUGACAAAAUUAGGAGUUUGAAAUCCCAGUUGGAAGCUUACCAUGAACUGAUGAACAAGAACAGCACCCAUUGGCAAAAUGCUGUUAAGAGCCUGAGGGAAAGAAACAGAAAACUGAGCCAGGACAAAGAAGAUCUUAUUCACCAAAUGAAGCAACAAACAGAAAAAAUGGAAGAACAAAAGGUAAAAUAAAUAAAUAAAUAAAUAAAUAAGGAGUUAUUUUGGUUCUGU
rnacentral:lncRNA from 1 species